rnacentral:rRNA from 1 species
UACGUAGGGGGCAAGCGUUGUCCGGAUUUAUUGGGCGUAAAGAGCGUGUAGGCGGCCAGGUAGGUCUGCUGUGAAAACUCGAGGCUUAACCUCGAGCUGUCGGCGGAAACCAUCUGGCUAGAGUCCGGAAGAGGAGAAUGGAAUUCCCGGUGUAGCGGUGAAAUGCGUAGAUAUCAGGAGGAACACCUGCGGUGUAGACGGCUUUCUGGACCAUUGUUGACGCUGAGACACGAAAGCGUGGGUAGCAAACAGG